rnacentral:rRNA from 1 species
AACGAACGCUGGCGGCGCGCCUAACACAUGCAAGUCGAACGGGGAUGGUCCCUUCGGGGUCGAUCCUAGUGGCGCACGGGUGAGUAACGCGUGGGUACCUGCCCCGGGCACCGGGACAACCGCGGGAAACUGCGGCUAAUACCGGAUGACGCCGUGACCCGAGAGGGUCAUGGCCAAAGCUCAGGCGGCCUGGGAUGGGCCCGCGUCCGAUUAGCUGGUUGGUGGGGUAGCGGCCUACCAAGGCUGUGAUCGGUAGCUGGUCUGAGAGGAUGGUCAGCCACACUGGGACUGAGACACGGCCCAGACUCCUACGGGAGGCAGCAGUGGGGAAUCUUGGACAAUGGGGGCAACCCUGAUCCAGCGACGCCGCGUGGGUGAUGAAGGCCUUCGGGUUGUAAAGCCCUUUCGCCGGGGACGAUGAUGACGGUACCCGGAGAAGAAGCACCGGCUAACUCCGUGCCAGCCGCCGCCGUAAAAC